rnacentral:rRNA from 1 species
UACGUAGGGUCCGAGCGUUGUCCGGAAUUAUUGGGCGUAAAGGGCUCGUAGGCGGUUAGUCGCGUCGGGAGUGAAAACUCAGGGCUCAACCCUGAGCGUGCUUCCGAUACGGGCUGACUAGAGGUAUGCAGGGGAGAACGGAAUUCCUGGUGUAGCGGUGGAAUGCGCAGAUAUCAGGAGGAACACCGGUGGCGAAGGCGGUUCUCUGGGCAUUACCUGACGCUGAGACGCGAAAGCGUGGGGAGCGAACAGG